rnacentral:rRNA from 1 species
GUGUCAGCCGCCGCGGUAAGACGGAGGAGGCAAGCGUUAUCCGGAAUUAUUGGGCGUAAAGGGUCCGCAGGUGGCAGUUCAAGUCUGCAGUCAAAGGUCGGGGCUCAACCCCGGAAAGGCUGUGGAAACUGAACAGCUAGAGUACGGUAGGGGCAGAGGGAAUUCCCAGUGUAGCGGUGAAAUGCGUAGAGAUUGGGAAGAACACCGGUGGCGAAAGCGCUCUGCUAGGCCGAAACUGACACUGAGGGACGAAAGCUAGGGGAGCGAAAGGGAUUAGAUACCCCUGUAGUCCUAGCUGUAAACGAUGGAGACUAGGUGUGGCCUGUAUCGACCCGGGCCGUGCCGGAGCUAACGCGUUAAGUCUCCCGCCUGGGGAGUACGCACGCAAGUGUGAAACUUAAAGGAAUUGACGGGG